rnacentral:rRNA from 1 species
ACUAUUAAAUAAUAUAUCACGAAGGGGGCUGAGCUAAUUAGUAAAGCCUUAUAGGGUUGUAUCUACAUGUUGCAGCAUGUAGUCCAUAUUAUUGAUUAGGGGUGAUAGGCCUAACAAAGUCUCCGAUAUCUUGUUUCCCAGGAAAUAUAUUAAGUAUUAAGCCAGCUUAGGAGUGAUAAGGCUUCUAAGUACUACUAAACUAGGAUUGAUUUAAGCAAACUAUUUAACGAUAAUUGCUUGACUUACUAUAACACCAAUUACUGUGCAUUGUAUUAUAUACUGGGAUGUGUGUUUGUAACUAAGCAAUUACAAUACCACUGUUGACAUAAGUAUAGUUUUAAAACUCUAACAGGAACUCGGCAAAUAGAUUCCUCAACUGUUUAUCAAAAACAUAGCCGGAUGAGCUCAAUAUCUGGUUCUUCCUGCUCAAUGGUUAACUAAAUAGCCGCAGUACUCUGACUGUGCAAAGGUAGCAUAAUCAUUUGGCUUAUAAUUGAAGUCUAGCAUGAAAGGAUACAUGGGGAAUAGCUGUCUCUAAGGGUUAAUCUGAAAUUACUUAGCAGGUGAAAAUACCCGCAAAAAACUAAUAGACGAGAAGACCCUAGAAAUUUUUUAUAAGACAAUACUUAUAAUUGGUGUUAUUUUGUUGGGGCGACAGAAUAACAAUUAACUUAUUUUACUAAAUUAGAACUACAUAUUGUGCGAAAGUAAAUUACUCUAGGGAUAACAGCAUAAUCUAUUAAAGUUUGUGACCUCGAUGUUGGACUAGGGAUUUUAGUAUUUAGAAGAUACUAAAACGAGCUCUGUUCGAGCAUUUACCCCUACAUGAUCUGAGUUCAGACCGGC